GACGAACGCUGGCGGCGUGCCUAAUACAUGCAAGUCGAACGGACCUUGCUUGGACGGAGUGGAGUACUUGUACAAAGCGAAGACUGAGCGCUGGUUAGUGGCGAACGGGUGAGUAACACGUAGGUAACCAACCGAUAAGACGAGGACAACUCAUGGAAACGUGAGCUAAUACUGGAUGUGGUAUAGAGAAGGCAUCUUUUCUAUAUUAAAGGAGCUUUUGGCUUCACUUAUUGAUGGACCUGCGGCGUAUUAGCUAGUUGGUAGGGUAGAAGCCUACCAAGGCGAUGAUACGUAGCCGAUCUGAGAGGAUAAACGGCCACACUGGGACUGAGAUACGGCCCAGACUCCUACGGGAGGCAGCAGUAGGGAAUUUUCCACAAUGGACGAAAGUCUGAUGGAGCAACGCCGCGUGUGUGAAGAAGGUUUUCGGAUUGUAAAGCACUGUUGUAUGGGAAGAAUAAGGUAAUGAGGAAAUGAAUUACUGGUGACGGUACC
rnacentral:rRNA from 1 species